rnacentral:rRNA from 1 species
AACGCGAAGAACCUUACCUGGGUUUGACAUAUCGGGAAAUCCUCCAGAGAUGGGGGGUCCGUAAGGGCUCGAUACAGGUGGUGCAUGGCUGUCGUCAGCUCGUGUCGUGAGAUGUUGGGUUAAGUCCCGCAACGAGCGCAACCCUCGUCUGAUGUUGCCAGCGGGUGAUGCCGGGGACUCAUCAGAGACUGCCGGGGUCAACUCGGAGGAAGGUGGGGAUGACGUCAAGUCAUCAUGCCCCUUAUGUCCAGGGCUUCAUGCAUGCUACAAUGGCCGGUACAAAGGGCUGCGAAGCCGUGAGGUGGAGCGAAUCCCAAAAAGCCGGUCUCAGUUCGGAUUGGGGUCUGCAACUCGACCCCAUGAAGUCGGAGUCGCUAGUAAUCGCAGAUCAGCAACGCUGCGGUGAAUACGUUCCCGGGUCUUGUACACACCG